rnacentral:rRNA from 1 species
AGAGUUUGAUCAAUGGCUCAGAACGAACGCUUGGCGGCGUGCUUAACACAUGCAAGUCGAACGCGAAAAGGGAGCAAUCCCGAGUAGAGUGGCGAACGGGUGAGUAACACGUGGGUAAUCUGCCCUCGAGCGGGGGAUAACGUUCCGAAAGGAGCGCUAAUACCGCAUAACUCGACGGGGACCCUGGUCCCUGUCGGCAAAGAUGGCCUCUGCUUGCAAGCUAUCGCUUGAGGAGGAGCUCGCGCCCCAUUAGGUAGUUGGUGAGGUAAUGGCUCACCAAGCCCGCGAUGGGUAGCCGGCCUGAGAGGGUGGCCGGCCACACUGGCACUGAGAUACGGGCCAGACUCCUACGGGAGGCAGCAGUGAGGAAUUUUGGGCAAUGGGCGAAAGCCUGACCCAGCGACGCCGCGUGGGCGAUGAAGGCCUUCGGGUCGUAAAGCCCUGUUAGUUGGGAAGAAGCCCGUGUUUGUGCUAAUACCACGACGUGGGUGACAGUACCGACAGAGGAAAGCCCGGCCAACUACGUGCCAGCMGCCGCGGUAAUA